GCUUAAGAACUGGAACAUACUAGCUUUUUACUUGCGGAUAUGACUGCGAACGUAAAGGUGGAGUACGCCAUUAAAAUCUACCGAAUUUGAUGGUUUAUGUCACUUUUUUUUACCAACCACUCCUGCCACCUGUUUUGAGCUCUUCCUCCUCUUUAGUGUAUUAUAAAUAGCUCUAGAACUUGAGCAACCUUCCAACUGUAUGUUCAUUCAUUUGUAGUAGAUACCCAUUUGUCAUAAAUUUCAGCUAGUCGGUUCAGCUGUUGUUGUUAGACGUUAUCUUGUCUUGCCUUUAGUUCAUUCAUGAAUGGCCAGCAGCAGCAGCUUGGUGCUUCAUCGUUGUUGGUCUUUGUUAUCCUCUCAACAUCUAGCUUGCCCACGGAGAUCUCCAAGACUAAUGCUAAACUUCCAUCCAGUAUCUGCAAUUACUGCUGUUGUUACUUCUUCAACAGUCAAGGCCUCCUCCGAGAGGUGCAGUAGUGGUCGCCUUGGCUUACGGACAUGCAACAGUAAGUCAAACCAGUUCUUAAGAAGAUGCUCCACCAAUGCAUUUGUUGUUGUUAAUGAUGAAAAGUACGGCAAUAAGCAGGUUAUUAGUGUUACUCCAUGCCUUUAUGAUUACAUCCUUGCCAACACUCGAGAGCCAGAGAUUCUACGGCAACUUCGAGAGGAGACUGCCUCUAUGCGUGGUUGUCAGAUGCAGGUAUCUCCUGAUCAGGCACAGCUUCUUGCAAUGCUUGUUCAGAUUCUUAAGGCAGAGCGGUGCAUUGAAGUUGGUGUUUAUACUGGAUAUUCAUCAUUGGCAAUUGCAUUGGUCCUCCCAGAAUCAGGUCAUUUAGUUGCCUGCGAAAGAGAUGCCAAGUCUCUUGAGAUUGCAAAGAAGUACUAUGAGCGUGCGGGGGUUUUGCACAAGGUGGAUGUUAGAUAUGGACUUGCUGCUGAUGCACUAAAAUCAAUGAUUCUGAAUGGUGAAGCUUGCAGCUAUGAUUUUGCAUUUGUUGAUGCCGAGAAGAGGAUGAAUCAGGAAUACUUUGAACUGCUUCUACAACUGGUGAGGACUGGGGUCUCAUUGUGAUUGAUAAUGUCCUUUGGCAUGGAAAAGUUGUUGACCCCAUGGUAAAUGAUGCCAAGACAGUUAGUAUCAGGAAUUUCAACAAGCGUCUACUGGAGGACAAGCGUGUAAACAUUAGUAUGGUACCUAUUGGAGAUGGCAUGACCAUAUGCCAAAAAAAGAUGACCUCAUAGCAAAAGCUGAUUUUUUAUUCAUCGACAUGGCUUAUAAUAAUAUCUUCGGUGAUCGAUCAAGUACGAGUAAUGCUACUCAUUAUCUGAAUUUUCAUCAUCUUAUGAUGUGGUAUUAAAUGAUUAUAAACUAUUUAUUAUAUUUCAUUUGUGAACC